UGGGUAACCUGCCCAAGAGACUGGGAUAANACCUGGAAACAGAUGCUAAUACCGGAUAACAACACUAGACGCAUGUCUAGAGUUUAAAAGAUGGUUCUGCUAUCACUCUUGGAUGGACCUGCGGUGCAUUAGCUAGUUGGUAAGGUAACGGCUUACCAAGGCAAUGAUGCAUAGCCGAGUUGAGAGACUGAUCGGCCACAUUGGGACUGAGACACGGCCCAAACUCCUACGGGAGGCAGCAG
rnacentral:rRNA from 1 species